rnacentral:rRNA from 1 species
AGUGAACGCUGGCGGUAGGCCUAACACAUGCAAGUCGAACGAGUGGCGGACGGGUGAGGAAUACAUCGGAAUCUACUCUGUCGAGGGGGAUAACGGAGGGAAAAUUACGCUAAUAACGCAUAAGAUUGAAUGAGCCGCUGUCGGAGUAGCUAGUUGGCGGGGUAAAGGCACAACAAGGCGACGAUCCGUAGCUGGUCUGAGAGGAUGAACAGCCACACUGGAACUGAGACACGGUCCAGACUCCUACGGGAGGCAGCAGUGGGGAAUAUUGGACAAUGGGCGCAAGCCUGAUCCAGCCAUACCGCGUGGGUGAAGAAGGCCUUCGGGUUGUAAAGCCCUUUUGUUAGGGAAGCGUUACCAACAGAAUAAGCACCGGCUAACUUCGUGCCAGCAGCCGCGGUAAUAC